rnacentral:rRNA from 1 species
UACGUAGGCAGCGAGCGUUGUUCGGAGUUACUGGGCGUAAAGCGUGCGUAGGCGGUCUUGUAAGUCUGGUGUGAAAUCUCCCGGCUCAACUGGGAGGGUGCGCCGGAAACUGCAAGGCUGGAGUAUGGGAGAGGUAGGCGGAAUUCCUGGUGUAGCGGUGAAAUGCGUAGAUAUCAGGAGGAACACCUGUGGCGAAAGCGGCUCACUGGACCACAACUGACGCUGAGGCGCGAAAGCUAGGGGAGCAAACAGG